rnacentral:ncRNA from 1 species
UGAUUUUUAAUUUUAUAAUUACAAAUAUAUUUAUUUUUAUUCACUUUUAAAUAAUUUAAUUUAGAUGGGGGGUGUUUAUAUUGUUAUAGUUAUAGAUGAAAAGUGAUGGUAGGGUAAAAAUAUUGUGCCAGCAUACGCGGUUAUACAAUUUUUUAUUAAUUAUUUAUUUUAUUUUAAUGUUUUAAUAUUUAAUUUAUAAAAAUUUUUGUGAAAAAGUUUUUUUAUUAAUUUUUAUUUUAGUUUAUUAUAACUCUUUUUUUUAAUAGGAUUAGAUACCCUAGUAAUAAUGUUUUAAAAUAUAUAGGUAGUAUUAGUUAUUCUUAAAACCUAAAGGUAUUUGGCGGUAGCUUAAUCUUUUUAGAGGAGAUUAUUCUGUUAUUGAGGCUGUUCAUUCAUUAAUUUUUUAUUAUAUUUGUAUAUCACUGUUUAAAAUAAAUUUAUAUUUUUGUUUAUUAUCGUUAUUAAAUUAUUAUAGCAAGUCGAAGUGCAGUUUUAAAGAAUUUGAAAUGAUCUCCAAUAAGAAGAUUUAUUGGUAAUUUUUUAUUGUGUAAUUUGAAUAUUGGAUCUAAAAGUAAUUUUAGAAUAAUUUAUUAUUUUGGAUAAGAUUUUAGCUAUGCACAUAUUGCCCGUCGCUCUUUACUAUUAUUAAAGAUAAGUCGUAACAAAGUAGGAGUAUUGGAAAAUGCUUCUGGUUUAAUUUAAUUUUUUUGUUUUUUUGUUUCAUAAAAAAUAUUAUUUUUUUGUUAAUUUUACUGUAAAG